rnacentral:tRNA from 1 species
GGUCCUGUUGGCAAAUGGUUAAGGCGUCUGACUACGAAUCAGGAGAUUCCAGAUUCGAGUCCUGGCAGGAUCG